rnacentral:rRNA from 1 species
UACGUAGGGUGCGAGCGUUGUCCGGAAUUAUUGGGCGUAAAGAGCUCGUAGGCGGUGUGUCGCGUCGGCCGUGAAAACCUGGGGCUCAACUCUGGGCGUGCGGUCGAUACGGGCAUCACUGGAGUUCGGCAGGGGAGACUGGAAUUCCUGGUGUAGCGGUGAAAUGCGCAGAUAUCAGGAGGAACACCGGUGGCGAAGGCGGGUCUCUGGGCCGAUACUGACGCUGAGACGCGAAAGCGUGGGGAGCGAACAGG